CUGCACCCUUAUCAAAGGCCUUGCUGAUCUUGAAGCUGCUGUUUGCCUUUGCACAGCGAUCAAAGGCAACAUUUUGGGUAUCAAUCUUAAUAUCCCAGUUUCCCUCAGCUUGCUUCUAAAUGUCUGCUCAAAAAAAGUUCCAUCCGGCUUCCAAUGUCCCUGAUCACUCUUCCAAAAUCUUUCUUUUCUCAGUGUUUUUCAUGCUUAGUUCGCAACGGUAACUGUCUGUUUCCCUGUUGUAGUGUUUGUUUGGUUGCGAAUUGAUACUAAAUAAGUGUAGUGCUUUUUAUUUAUUCAAGUGUUUAUUUUUGGGUUUAUGUAUUUUAUGGAAAAGUGAAAGUGUAGUAUUAUUGGUAUGUUGGAUUUGAAUAAACCAUCCAUUGUUAUAAGUUUGUCUAAAUUAAUUUCUCAAUGUUGUCACGCUAUAUAUAUUAAACAUGUAUCCUUACUCCGAGCUUCAUGCUUUGGAUUUAUUAAGAAUAAUAAGUAAAGUUUUGAAUCUUUUUUCUUUGACGCAUAAUAUUUUCAAGUUAACAAUAUAUCGAAAGAGUGUAAUAAUUAAUGGGUAAUGAAAAUGCACUUGGAUGUAAGUUAUGGCAACUUCUUGGGGUAAUUAUAAGUUGUGGCAUAAAUACUGUCGAAACAACACCACAAAGUUGGUCUUGCUCAAACAAAGUUCUACUCUUAAAUUUUAGUACACGUAAUUAUUUAAACCUCAUCCUAGUAUAUUUAGUGCCAAACAACCUCUCCUAAUAUGAAUAAACAAUAAAUGCACUUAAUAAAAUUGUAUUCAUAUAAUGUGAAUAAAAUCCAUUAAGCUUUUAAAGUUUCACCUUAAUGUACAUUAUCUUCAUGUCUUUUAUAUUAUCUUCAAACUCUAUCUCUUAUGCUUGGAUUAGAAUGUUUUGAAAGCUUGUGUUAUUAUAGGGAUAACAACUUUUCGAGAGUUAUACUUCAAAUAAAACUUUUCUAUCUUAAAAUCUUUUAAGCGUGAGUUUGAUAAAUUAUAGAAAAUUUUCAUUUCAUUGAAAAUAAUAUUUUAAAUAUAUUUGACCAUCAUUUUAAUUUUUAUUUAAUAUAAAAAUGUCAGCAAAAAAUAUUGAAUAAGAUAAGUAGCUACUUAUCACUUAAUGUAAAAAAUAAUUAAGUUUAUUUUAUUUUAUUAAAUUUGAAUUAAAUGAUUUAAAAAGAAAAAGAUAAUCAAAUUGUCAUAUUUAUCUUCCAUCGAAAACUAUCCAAAAUAACAUAAAAUAUUAUAUUAAUAACAUUAAAAAUAAAAUAAAUAAUCUUUUAAAAAUUAAUAUUUACUUUUAUCAAAUAACAUAAUUAUAUUCAGUAUUUAUAUUUACUAAUUUAUAUUGAACAUUUUUAAUAUAAAUUCAAUACUCGUAAAAUUUAAUAUUUAAUACUUUAAAAUUUAAAAUUUUAAUUUAUCAAAUACAUCCUAAAGGUAUUGUAUUAAAUUGAUAGAUGCCGCCAUGAAUAUCCCACAUUUUUAACCAUUAUAAGAUAAUUAUGAACAUAAAAAUAAAUGCAAAGUAAAAACAAAAUUGCUGACAAAUAAAAAUUGAUGCAUAAACAACUUUUGGUUUGCCAUGCGGGCACAGUUUGUACGUAGCACAAAUUAUUGUGUACUAACAAGUUAUUUUCAUUCUAUAAAAAAUCAUUAAUUAAAAUAACCUAAAAUAAAUAUUUUUUCCUAUUCCAGUAACUAAAACAAAUAAAAAUAAAAGUAUUUUAUUUUAAUAAAAAUCUAAAUAUGAUAGUUUUCUAUAAUAAUUCAAAUAUAUGCGGAUUUAUUCAUUUUUAAUUUAUAAACAUAUAUUUAUAUAUAUAAAACAUGAGUUUGAAAUUUUUUUAAAUUAAUAAAAAUAUAAUUUAUUAUUCAUUAUAUUAUUAAAUUCACAUUAACUAAUACUUUAUUUAUAUACUACUAAUUAUCAUGAGAUAAUAACAAAAGUAACAUUAAUUAACUAUUAAUUCAUUAAACGUAAUUGGAUAACUUAAAAAUAAUAAAAUCCCUUAAAUAAAUUAUAUAUACUACAUAUAUUAUUAAUUAUUAUAUGAUCAUAAAAAAAUUUAUUUAAUUGUGCAUGUAGUUUUUUAGUUUCACAUUUCUUUUUAAAUAAAUAUUAGAAAUCUUAAUACACGUGUAUGCGUGUGAAAAUUAUAUAUUUAAAAUACAAAUGUUUGCUUAAAAGUAACAUAUAAUAAGCAUUGAUAUGUAUGGUUUGAAACUAAUUAAUCGUAAUAACACAUGAAAUAUGUACAAUACUAAAAUUAAAAAAAUAGAUUAAAUUAUGACUAAAGUGAAAGCUAAACACAUAAAUACAUCAGAUAAGCAAUACUAAAUGCACUACAGUUAUUUAUUAUGGUUUUGUCAUUAAUUCUGAGUUAGUGUCAAGCUGACUUGUGACACCAACUCAAUUAACAACAUUAUUAAGAUAUACAAUUUAUAGAGAAUAAAUUGUGUAUAUUAAAAUUAAAAUGUAUAAAAAUAUAUUAAAAUUGUUAUAGAAAAAUUAAUAAAAAAUAAUAAGUAAAAGGUGGAUGAAAAAUGCGGGAGAAUUUUUUCAUAUUUUCAUUUCACUCACGUAAGGAUUCUAUUUAUAAGUAAUUGACAUUCCAUGCAAUACAAUAAAUGAAGCUUAUUUAAGUGCUUCAUUAACACAUGCAUUAAACAACUUGCAUAAUGAAGGGGAGGUUUUACCUCAUAAAUGAGGGCGGUUAGAAUAUGAAUAUCCACAUUUAUUUGUAACACUUCCCUUUGGAUGUCCACUAGAAAAAACUAUGCCUCAUUAAAACCUUUAUUAGGAACAACCCUGUGGGAUAAAAACCUAAUGAAGAAAAAGAGUACAUAAUCUCUUAUUGAUAAGCUAUAAAAAUAACAUAUUUUAAUCUCAUUCUUAAUGCAUUUUUGGAUGAUUAAUUAUGCAAAUUAGUAAAUUUUAUGCUUUUAAUCCUUUAAAUUCAUGUUUCUAUACUUAGAAGAGCAUUUGGGAGUAAAAGGAGCGAAAAACGAGUCAAAAUCAGAUAAAUAAAGUUGUUUUCAAGAGCCACAUGGCCUGGGCAUUUCCACACGGGCUGGACACAUGCCUAUGUAAGCCACACAUGUAACGCCCUGAAUAAUUUAAGUCUGUUUUUGUGAAAUCUAAUAUAAAUAUGUAUUUAUUUCAGUGGUUAAGUGUUCUGAGUGUGCGUAUAAGGUCUUGGGUUCAAGUCUCACAAUUGGAAAUUUUGUUAUUUUUAAUCCAAGCCUUAUCCCUGUUGGGUGGGCUUAUAUAUUAUUGUUUGUAAACUUAUAUUAGAAUGAGCCUGUUGGUUCAAGUGGUAAGGGGUUGGCUUUCUCUAAGAUCUUGUGUUUGAUUCCCUAUAGGAGCGUAGAUGAUAUUUUCGCUUCGGUUGUCUGAUAGAGGUUUGAAGGAACCAAAAUUCUGAGGUGGUUGAGAGUUAGUAGGUUAGUAGGGAGUGAGAGAAAAAUUGUGGAUUUGUUGUCAUAUCUAUUUUUUUAUUAUUUUAUUUUUCUCUCUAUUCCCAAAUUUCUUCUAUUUUUGACGUUACUUCUUCUCUUUUCUUCUUCUCUGCAUUUUCGGUUCUUUUCUUUACUCUGUUCGUCAACUAGUUGUUCCAAACAUUCGAUUUGAUCCCGGUGGUUUCCAUCUGUUUUGGUAAGUUUGACGUUUCAUCUUUGUUGCUUUCAUUCUUUUUAAUUAGCAUAGUGGUGUGGUUAGGAAAGUUAAUUUCAUACAAGCUGUUGCAUAGGUGAAGGCGGUGAAGUAACGAUUUUAACUCCAAUGGUCUGAUUGUGUGCAUGGUCGUAUUAGUCGGUGAUAAGUGUUUGCGCAUUUUUCAGUGUAGUUGGGGAAUUCAUAAGUUGGAUGCUAAACUUGUUGUUGGAAUGCUAUUUCUUAGGUUUCAAGAGUCUUGGGAUUAUUUUCACAGUAAUACAAACCAGGUGUGUACCCUAAACACGAGAAAUUAAGAUUCGACGGAAACCAAAAAUUGGGGUUGUCGACGCCACACGGGCAUGUAGCCGACCGUGUGGCUGGCCGUGUAUGAGACAUUGUCAUAUGACUAACGAAUGCGUGGCUGCGCGCAAGACACGACCUUGUGACGGUGUGAAUGUGGUCGUGUGGGCUACAUAGGCUAGGCCAGGUUAGUGUGAGCCACACGGGUGUGUGGGACCACAUGAGCAUUUCACAGAGGUGUGUAGGUUUGGGCUAGACCGUGUGGGCCACAAGGGCAAGGCCAAUUUGGGCGUGUGGGCCCACACGGGCAUGUUGGCCCAGAAUUUUAAAAAUUUCCCUAGGGUCACUCAGGUCGUUCCGAUCAACUAUAGGCCUAUCGUAGGGUUGGUAAGGGCUAACCAAACCCUAUUUCAUGUGAUUUGAUAUUGUGAUAGACUGAUCUGAGUAAGAUACUGGUAUGUAUAUCUGACUAUACUGUUUAAGUAUGUAUCUAUCUAUAUACGAGCAUGUUAAGCAUGUUAAUUUUGAUAUUUCUACAUCUAUAUUUUGUAUCUGUGUUUGGGGUGAAAAUUGCAUAUGUGGAGGAAGUGAUCUGUUUGGUGACUCUUCGCCUAUAUUCUAGCAGCCUGUCUGCAUAUUAUCUGAUAUAUGUCGCAUCAACACUAUAUGGUGUGUAAUGAUGGGUGGGUGUUCUUAACCCCACAUGGUGUGAUGAGAUGGACGGAGAUGGUGUGUAGAGGAUGUGAGUAGGAUUCUAUUUAUCUGUUUUGUACAUUUGAUUCUAAUAGAUGUUUCUGUGAAGGACUUAGGUCCGGAUUUGUAGCUGACUGUAUAUGAAACUCUGUAUAUGUUGCAUGUCUAUCUUUGAUGGGUUACACACUGAGUUUACGUAAACUCACAUCUGUUUGUUUGUUCUAUUUAGGUAAUCCACAGACAUAGGCGGGUCAGUCCGACAGAGGCUCAGCAGUGACCACUCGAUUGGAAACUGUUUCCAUUUAUUAUUAUUUCAUGGUUUUUUCUUAAAUUUCUGGCUUUCAUGAAAGUUUUGUAUUUUUUGGACUCUCCGGAUUUUUUAAACUAUUUGAUUUAAAUUUUUGGUUUGGUUGCGUUAUGGUUUCUAAACUGCGACGAUUCGACAAAAUAUUGAUUUCACGAGAACAAAUGUUAUUUUUGCAAAUACGAGCAUGGUUUUGAUUUUAACGAUUUUUCAAACUUUCGCUGCGAAAUGAUUUGGUUAACUGUAAAGGAUAAAAUGUAAUGGUUUUAGUAAUAAAUAUAUAAAUGAAUAUGUUUUAUAACUUGGACAUUUUAUCGUAGUAUCAUCGAUUUCAAAACCCUUCUUCAUAACACUCUUGGAUUCAACCAUAAAGUUUAGGCUAGGUUUGGGGUGUUACAUUUAAUGGUAUCAGAGUCAGGUUGCAAAACUUGUGCUGUGAAUUUUGAGUUCCAAAAUUAUGUUUUGAAAAAGAACUGGUUUUCUAAAUAAUUUGGACCAUUUUGAAUGAGUAAGUGGUACACCGAGUCUCCGACACUGAUCUUGUAAGUAUCUCUGAAUUUAGAAAACACUGUAGUUAGUACUUUCUAAAACUGUAACUGAGUUAGUUAGAGACUAAAACCUCUGAAAUACUUCUGAACUUCUAAUAACUUGAGCAUAAAAUAUCUUCUAAUAAAAACUGGAACAGAUGCAUAAAAUUUUAUAAUGUAGAUAAAACUAAAAAUAGAAUGAGCACUCGUGGAACUCACGGCGUGGUAUUCGUGGGCGUGGCAGGCGCCGUAGGGAUGCUCGAGAAGAUUCUUUCUCUCUGGGUAGUAUGUCAAAUUUAAACACGAGUGAGACACCAAUUUCACUUACUACUUAGACUGGGUCUCAAUGCCGUUCGGCUGGGGACGACGCACUGUCCUAAGCCAUGUUGAAAGUAUUGGAGAGGGUUGCUGGACCCCAUUUUGGAUCUGGGGGCCUUGGGUCGGUAACUGAAUGAAUUCGGUCCAAUAGAGCUAAGCAUUUUAGGGGUAUUAUUGGAGUCGCCCCUACUGUGGCCGAGUAUUGGUUAGAAGCCACUGAGAGGAUUACAAAUGACAUCGACUGCACUGCAGAACAGAAAUUGAAAGGUGUAGUCUCUUUGCUUCGCGACGAAGCUUAUCAAUGGUGGUUGUCAAUUGAUGAGGGUACUCAACUGGAUUGUCUGAACUAAGACUACUUUAAGAUCGCUUUCCAAGAAAAAUAUGUGGGCUCGAGCUAUGUUGAUGCUCAUAGGCGUGAGUUCAUGAAUCUCAUGUAAGGUGAUAAGUUUAUGGCCGAGCAUGAGGCUGAGUUUCUUAGAUUGAGCCACUACGCUUGAGGUAUAGUGGCAUCUGAGUAUGAGAAAUGUGUCUGUUUUAAGGAUGAUUUGAGGGAUACUUUGAGGGUUCUGAUUGCUCUGCAGAGGGAGCGUGAGUUUGCUGCUUUGGUUGAUAAGGCGAAGAUCGCUGAAGAGGUAAGCGCGUAGAGCUCCAGGAUAGAGAACGAGAUAGAGUCAAGAAUAAGAGGGAUUUAGAGCCCUCUAGUUCUUUUUAGAGGCCUAAGAAACGAGCCAGACCUAAUGGGUCUGUAAAAGUGGGAGUUCUUGUUGCUCCUACUGGGAUUCAGCCUUGUGGUGAUUGUGGUAGGCGCCAUUCGGGUAAGUGUUGGAGGAGAUUGUCCACAUCGUGCUGAUCAUAUGCAAGUUACGGGAUCAGGUUCUGUUCAGCCUCAAAGAGUAGUACAGCAGCCACCUAAGGGCCGUGGAUCGAUUAAGUUUGGUAAUGGUAUGAGCCGAGGACAGAGAGCACUAGGCAGAUGUGCUAAUCAGACUGAAGUGAGGUAGCCUGUACUGCUUUAUGUUGCUUGACGUUGAGAGGACAGAGACGCUGUUGAUGUGAUCACGGGUAUGUUUUUAAUUUUUAAUACCUUAUAUAUUACUUUGAUAGACAUAUGUUCUACACACUCCUAUGUGGCUAGUGUUGUUACCGAAAACUUGGGGAUUUCAGUUGAGUGUACUUCUUGUGAGAUUACUAUAUUGAGUCUGUUGGGGCAAUCUAUUCGGGUUAGUAGACUAUAUAGGAAUGUUUUGUUAUAGAUAUAAGGGAUUAUGUUUCCGAUAAAUUUGAUGGAGCUACCGUUUGGGGAGUUUGAUUUAAUUUUAGGUAUAGACUGGUUGGUUGAGGACUGACUUAGUCUAGACUGCGCGACUAAGAGUGUCAUUCUGAGGACCGUAGAUGAUAAGGAAGCGGUUACAAUCGGUGAGCGUCAAGAUUACUCGUCUAAUGUGAUCUCCACUCUAAUGGCUGAGAAAUUGGUUCGGAAAGGGUGUGAAGCAUAUUUGGCCUACGUCAGUAUUUCAAUUUCUGGGGACUUUUCUGUCAGGAAUAUUAGAACAGUGAGGGAAUUUUUAGAUAUUUUUCCUAAGGAGUUACCAGGUUUACUUCCGAAUCGAGAAGUUGAGUUCGACAUUAAUCUUCUACCAGGUACAACUCUAGUGUCCAUCGCUCUUAUACUGUAUGGCAUCGAAUGAGCUUACAGAGUUUAAAGCUCAACUUUAAGAGCUUCUAGAUCGUGGUUUCAUCCGUCCUAGUGUGUUCUCGUGGAGGGUAUCGGUUCUGUUUGUGAAGAAAAAGGAUGGUACCAUGGGAGGUGCAUUGACUACCGACAGUUGAAUAAACUGACUGUGAAAAAUAAGUACCCACUUCUGAGGAUUGACGAUCUGUUCGAUUAGUUUCGUGGGGCUGCGGUAUUCUCAAAAAUAGAUAUCUGUUCUGGAUAUCAUUAACUUAGAGUUAAGGAAUUUGAUAUUCACAAUACGAUAUUUAAGACUCGUUAUGCACACUAUGAGUUCCUAGUUAUACCCUUCAGUUUGACGAGUGCUCUGGCUGUAUUCAUGGAUCUGAAGAACCAAGUUUUUCAGCCGUAUCUGAACCAGUUCACUGUAGUCUUCAUCAACGAUAUUCUGGUGUACUCUAAAAUUGAUGAUGAGCAUGAUGAGUAUCUUAGAGUAGUGCUUUAGAUAUUUUGGGAGAAACAGUUUUACGCUAAGUAAAUGUGAGUUUUAGUUGUGAGAGGUAACAGUUCUAGGGUAUGUGGUUUCUGCUGAGGGGAUCCGAGUUGAUCCUAGAAAGAUUGAGGUCGUGUUUGAUUGGAAAAAGCCUAAGAAUAUAUCUGAGAUCUGCAGUUUUAUGGGUCUUACGGGUUAUUAUCGGCAGUUUGUUAAGGGGUUCUCGUUGAUUGCAACUCCUCUGAAUAAGCUUCUGUGCAAGAAUGUUCCUUUCGUUUGAACUAAUGCGCAACAAUCGAGCUUCGAGAAGCUCAAGUCUGUUUUAACUUAAGCUCCUGUUCUGAUACAACUUGAAUUUGGUAAGGAGUUUGUGGUGUAAAGUGACGCGUCGUACGUCGGUUUGGGAUGUGUACUGAUUCAAGAUCGUAAGGUUCUGGCUUAUGCAUCCCAUCAGCUUACGUCACACGAGGGAAAUUAUCUGACGCAUAAUCUCAAGUUAGCUGCUGUGGUGUUUGCUUUAAAGAUUUAGAGGCACUAUCUGUAUGGUGAGAGGUGUAUUAUCUAUACCGAUCACAAUAGUUUCAAGUACCUCCUUUGUCAAAAGGAGUUGAAUCUUAGGCAACAUCGAUGGGUUGAGCUACUAAAGGAUUAUGACUGCACGAUAAAGUAUCAACCAAGUAAAGCCAAUAGUGGUGGCUAAUGCUCUUAGUCGUAGAGCGAUGAUUUAUUUGAAAGUGAUGUUCGCUUGUCUUAGUUUUCCAUGAUGGAGGCCUAUUAGCUGAGUUGCAAGUUAAGUCUACUUGGAUUGGGUAGAUUCGAGAAAAAUAGUUAGGGGAUAAGUCUCUAGGUUUGCGGUUUCAUCAGGUUGAGAGUGGGAGCACAUCUGAUUUUAGACUGAAUAAAGAUAAACUACUCUCUACAAAAGUUAGCGAAGUUCUAUAUUUCUAAGAUUGUGAGACUACAUGGGGUUCUAGUUUCGAUUAACUCUUAUAGGGAUCCUCGCUUCACUUUUCGGUUCUAGAAGAAACUGCAUGAGGCUCUGGGUUUGAGAUUAGACUUCAGUACUGCGUUCCAUCUUCAGACCGAUAUUCAAUCUGAUAGGGUGAUUCAGAUAUUGGAGGAUAUGCUUCAAAGUUGUAUGAUUGAUUUCCGAUGUAGUUGGGAGGAUUUUCUACCGUUAGCUGAGUUCGCCUACAAUAAUAGUUUCGAUACUAGUAUUCAGAUGGCACCUUACGAGGCUUUGUAUGGUCGUAAGUAUCGUACUCUGCUAUAUUGGACUGAGUUGGGUGAGCGAUGGAUUUUGGGUCCUAAGUUGGUCUUCGAGAUUGAAGAUAAGGUUAGACUGAUUCGGGGUCAUCUGAAGGCGACUUUUGAUAGACAAAAGUCCUAUGCAGAUUUGAAAAAGAGGUAUAUCGAGUACGCUAUGGGUGACUUCGUAUUUCUUAAGGUAUCUCCGUGGAAGAAAGUUUAGAGGUCCAGUUGUAAGGGCAAGUUGAGCCCUAGGUUCAUUGGGCUGUAUCGGAUUCUGAAGCGUGUGGGAUUGACCACUUAUCAGUUAGAGCUACCCCCAGACUUAGACCAUAUCCAUGAUAUGUUUCACGUCUCGAUGUUGAGGCAGUAUCGGUUUGAUCUAUCUCAAGUUGUCUCUGUUAAGGAAAUCGAAGUAUUAAGAUUUUGAGGAAGAGCCGAUUCAGAUUUUGGAUCGAGAUAUUAAGGUUAUGAGUAGGAAGUCUAUUCAAUUAAUUAAGGUUCUCUGGCAGAAUCAUGGCACUGAGGAAGCCACGUGGGAACCUUAGGACUCGAUGUGUCAGUAGUAUCCUCAUCUGUUUAGAUCAGGUAAAUUUCGAGUCUGAAAUUUCUUUUAGGGGGUAGAGUUGUAAGGUCCUGAGUAAUUUAAGUCUGUUUUUAUGAAGUAUGAUAUAAAUAUGUAUUUGUUGAGGAGAUCGAGGAGAUCGAAGUUAGACCGGACUUAACUUUUGAGGAGGAUCCAAUUCAAAUUUUAGAUCGAGCUAUUAAGGUUUUGCGGAGGAAGUCCAUUCAAUUAGUUAAGGUUCUGUGGCAUAAUCAUGACACUGAGGAAGCCACGUGGGAACCUGAGAACUUGAUGCGUUAGUAGUAUCCUCAUCUGUUUGGAUCAGGUAAAUUUCGAAGCUGGGAUUUCUUUUAGGGGGUAGAGUUGUAACGCCCUGAAUAAUUUAAGUCUAUGUGUGUGAAAUCUGAUAUAAAUAUGUAUCUGCUUCAGUGGUUAAGUGUUCUGGGUGUGUGUAUGAGGUCUUGGGUUCAAGUCUCACAGUUGGAAAUUUUGUUAUUUUUUAUCCAAGCCUUAUCCCUAUUGUGUGGGCUUAUAUAUUAUCGUUUGUAAACUCAUAUUAGAAUGAGCUUGCUGGUUCAAGUGGUAAGAGGUUAGCUUGCUCUAAGGUCUCGUGUUCGAUUUCCUGUGGGAGCAUAGAUGAUAUGUUUGCUUUGAUUAUCUGAUAAAGGUUUGUAGGAACCUAAAUUCUGAGGUGGUUGAGAGCUAGUGGGUUAGUAGGGAGUGGGAGAAAAUUUGGGGAUUUAUUGUCAUAUCUACUUUUUUAAUAUUUUAUUUUUAAUAUUUAUUAUUUUUCUCUCUCUUUCCAAAUUUCUUCUAUUUCUGACGUUAGCUCUUUUCCUUUCUUUCUCUUCUCUGCGGUUUUCCUAUUUUCUGUUCUUUUCUCAACUCCGUUCACCAAUUGGUUGUUUCAAACGUUCGAUUUGAUCUCGGUGGUUUCCAUCCAUUUUGGUAAGUUUGACGUUUCGUCUUGGUUGCUUUCCUACAAUCUGUUGUAUAGGUAAAGGCGGUGAAGCAACGAUUUUCACUCUAACGGUCUGAUUGUAUGCAUGGUCGUAUUAGUCGGCGUUAAGUGUUUGCUCAUUAUUUGAUUUAGUUGGGAAAUUCUUGAAUUGGCUACUAAAAUUCUUAUUGGAAUGUUGUUUCUUAGGUUUCAGGAGUCUCGGGAUUGUUUUCGUAGCAAUACGAACCAGGUGUGUACCCUAAACACAAGAAAUUAGAGUUCAACGAAAGUCAAAAAUUAGAGUUGUCAAUGCCACACAGGCGUAUGGCUGGACGUUUGUGAGACAUGGUCGUGUGACUGAUGAAGGCGUGGCCCUGCGCAAGACACAAUCGUGUGACGGUGUGAGUGUGCCCGUGUGCAAGACACAACCGUAUAAUGAUGUGAUUAUGGCCAUAUAUGCCACACGAGCUAGACCAGGUUGGGCGUGUGGGACACACGGGUAUGUGGGUUUGGGCCAAGCCAUGUGGGCCAUAAGGGCAAGGCCAAUCUGGGUGUAUGGGUCACACGAGCAUGUGGGUAUAGAAUUCUAAAAAUUUCCCUAGGGUCACUCGGGUCGUUCCGAUCGACUGUUGUCCUUCUGUAGGGUCGGUAAGGGCUAACCAAACCCUAUUUCAUUUGAUUUGAUAUUCUGAUAGACUGAUCUGAAUAGGAUACUGGUAUGUAUGUCUGACUGUACUGUUUAAGUAUGUAUCUAUAUGUAUACAAGCAUGUUAAACAUGUUAGUUCUAAUAUUUCUACAUCUAUAUUCUGUAUUUGUGUUUAUGGUGGGAAUUGCAUAUGUGGAGGAAGUGAUCUGUUUGGCGACUAUUCGCCUAUAUUAUGGCAGCUUGUCUGCAUAUUAUUUGAUAUUUAUCGCAUCGAUACUAUAUGGUGUGUAGGGAUGGGUAGGUGUUCUUAACCCCACAUAGUGUGAUGGGAUGGACGGAGAUGGUGUGUAGAGGAUUCAAGUAGGAUUCUGUUUAUCUGUUCUGUAUAUCUGAUUCUGAUAUUUGUUUCAGUGAUGGACUUAGGUCCGGAUCUGUAUCUGACUAUAUAUGAAACUUUGUAUAUGUUACAUGUUUAUCUCUGAUAGGUUAGACACUGAGUUCACGUAAACUCACAUCUGUUUGUCUAUUCUAUUCAGGUAAUCCACAAACAUAGGCGGGUCAGUGCGACGGUGGCUCAGUGGUGACCACUCGAUGGGAAACUGUUUCCAUUUAUUAUUUCAUGGUUUUUACUUAAAUUUUCGGCUUUCGUGAGAGUUUUGUAUUUUUUGUACUAUCCAGUCUUUUUGGACUGUUUGGUUUAAAUUUUGGGUUUGCUCUAAACUGCGACAAUUCGACAAAAUAUCGAUUUCACGUGAACAAAUGUUAUUAAUGAAAACACGAGCAUGGUUUUAAUUUUAACGGUUUUUCAAACUUCCACUGUGAAAUGAUUUGGUUAACCUUCAAGGAUAAAAUGUAACGGUUUCAGUAAUAAAUAUAUAAAUGAAUACGUUUUAUAAAUUGGACAUUUUAUCGAAGUAUUAUCAGUUUCAAAACCUUUCUUCGUAACACUCCUGGAUUUGCAAAUAGUAUCUAGGUUGUGUUUGGGGUGUUACAACAUUGGCUGGCCACACGCCCAUGUGAUAGCUCAUGUCGAUUUCACACCUUGCUUCUCAAAUAUGCAGAAAAACCUAAUUUUUAGGCUUUCUAAGCAUUAUAAAAUCUAUAAAUACCCUUUAGAAGAAGAAAUAAGGGGUUAAUCUGAGAAGAUCGAACAAAACACUCAAAGAACACCAUCAAAGUCAACUCGGAAGUGGAUCUCCAUCAAGAUCGAAGAUCUCCCUUUAAUUUCUUUCGAAGUCUUACUAAGUUUCUUAUAUCUAGUCGUUAUUCUGACUUUGAGAUGUUUUCAUUCAACAUUAUGAACUAAUUCCUUAGAUACCUUGGGAGGAUGAAACCUAUGAUGAAUCUUUUUAUUUAAUCUUUGUUUUUACAUGAUAAAUACUUGAUUCUUGUUCUCAAUUAUUUAUACUUAUUUCUUAUUUUAGUAUUUUCGGGAUAUUAAUUCAUAUUUAAUGUGCUUAAUUCAGUGAGCAAAAGUCCCUGUUUAAGAGUAGAUCUAGCGUAAUAAAGUGGAGCUGCAUACAAUUCUAGAAAUAGGACGACAUAAAUCUACCGGAUUAGAGUCAAAUCUAAUAGGGGAAUCCAUAGAUCGAGUUAAUGCAACAAUAAGGGUUUUAAUUAGAAAGAGAUUUCAAUUAAUCAACCUAGAAUUAGUUGUUCUUACUCCCGAAAGAGAUAUUAACAUAAUUUAGGGAUUUCUACGAAUCAAAAGACAAGUGAAUAAAUCAUUUAAUUCAUAUUCUUAAUAAAAGGUGAAGUCUAGGUGGAUUCUUUCCUGGGUAUUGUCUAUCUCAUUAGUUAAUAAUCGAUUAUUUCCUUGAUUCAUUCUCUAUUACAUUUAUAGUUAAAUUAGUUUAGUAAAUUUAUAUUAAAAUACAUAUCUCUAAAUUGUCGACUAAAUAAUAGAAAAAUGGUAAUUUACAGUACUUUUAUUCCUCGUGGAUACGAUAUUCCCUACUCACUAUAGUUAUACUAUUGUUCGAUAGGUACGCUUGCCUUUAUCGUAUUUAUAGUUAGUUUAGUGACCAUCACUUAUUACAAGUUGUCUCGUUAAAACCUUUACUAGGAAAACCUCGUAGGCAAAACAUUGGUCAAAGAAAAAGAGUGCAACGUGUUUUUGACUCCCCCUAAUGGCAAUAUCACAUUACAUCUUUCAGUUGUCGCAUUCCAAUCUUGUGUAGUAUUUUUUCAAAUGUUGAAGUUGGCAAUGCCUUGAUAAAAAGAUUUGCUAAAUUAUCACUAGAAGGCACCUUUCUUCUCAAGAUCACGAGUGAAUAAUAAAUUUGGUGAAAUAUGUUUCGUUCUGUCACCUUUGAUGUAACCACCCUUCAAUUGAGAUAUACAUGCUGCAUUAUUUUCGUAUAAGAAAGUUGACAUCUUUUCCUGUAAAGACAAAUUACAUAUCUUUUGGAUAUGUUAGAUUAAUAACCUUAACCAAACUCGCUCUCAGCUUGCCUCAUGCAUUGCAAUUAUUUCAACAUGAUUUGAAAAGGCAGCAGCUAAUGUCUACUUUGUUGAACAUCAUGAUAUGGCAGUACCUCUACAUGUAAAUAAAUAUCCUGUUUGAGAUCGACCUUUAUGUGGAUCCGAUAAAUAUCCAGCAUCAGCAUCAACAUAACCAACUAAUAGAGAUUUUGAAUAAUUUGAAUAAAAUAAACCCAUAUCAAUGGUCCCUCUGAGAUAUCUAAAUACAUGUUUAAUUACAUUCCAAUAUCUACGUGUUAGAAACUCUUCAUGUUGUUUACAAGAUAAAUCAAUGCCUCUAUGACACUUAGAUUUGGUACUUCAGGACCAAGAAACUCUUCAUCAUUCUCGUAAGGACGAAAUUGAUCUUUAUUCACAUCUAACGAUCUUACAACCAUCGGGAUACUCAAUGGAUGUGUUUUAUCCAUGUAAAAUUUCUUUAAGAUCUUUUUCAUAUAAGUUGACUGAUGGAUAUGAAUUCUAUAUUUUAAAUGCUAGAUCUGUAGGCCAAGAGAAAACUUUGUUUUUCCAGAAUCUUUCAUCUCAAGUUCUUUCUUUAAAUAAUUUACUGCAUUUUGAAACUCUUCAGAAGUUUUAAUAAUAUUUAGAUCAUCAACAUAAAUAGAAAUUAUCAUAAAGUCUGGUCUAGACCUUUUUAUAAAAACACAUGGGCAGAUUGGAUCGUUUUUAUAACCUUCAUUUAACAAAUAUUCACUAAGACGAUUGUACCACAUAUGUCCAGAUUGUUUUAAUCCAUAUAAAUUUUUUUUAAUCUGAUUGAGAAAUUUUCUCGAGAAACUCUAUAUCCUUCAAGGAUUUUAAAUCCUUUUGGGAUUUUCAUAUAAAUUUCACUCUCAAGUGUACCAUACAAAUAGGCUGUAACAACAUUCAUUAGAUGUAAGCCAAGUUUUUCACAUACUGCCAAACUAAUAAGGUAUCUAAACGUGAUUGCAUCCACCAUAUGAGAAUAUGUCUCUUCGUAAUCAAUGUCAGGCCUUUGCGAAAAUCCUUGUGCUACAAGUCGUGCUUUAUAUAUUACGACUUCAUUUUUCUCAUUUCGUUUUCGUACAAAUAUCCAUUUAUUUUCUACCGACUUUACAUAUUUAGGUGUUUGGACUAUAGGUCCAAAAAUCUCACGUUUAGAUAGUGAAUUUAAUUCUACUUGAAUUGCGUCUUUCUAUUUUGGUCAAUCUUUUCUAUUUUUACAUUCCUUAAUAGAUUUAGGCUUAGGAUCCUCAUUUUCUCUUGGUAUUUCAAUAGCAACAUUAUAAGAAAAAUUGUUGUCGACAACUAUAUUUUUUCGGUUCCAUCUUUUUCCUGAAGUAGCAUAACUUAUUGAGAUCUCUUUGUUAUCACCAUUUUUGGGUAUCUGAACCUCUUUUGGGGUUUUUCUUUAUUAGUUAUAUCUUUGGCCUCUUCUUGAGCACUUUCCUCCACAAUAUGACCAUUUUGAAUAUUUUCUCAUUUCCUUUUACGAGGAUUUUUAUCUUUGGAACCGAUUGGCCUUUCAUGUUUUAGGCGUGGAUUACUUUCUUUUGCACUAACAGUUUUCCCUAUUAGGAUAUCAAUUCGUAUUGGAGCAUUUUCAGUUGGUAUGUGAGAUUUUGUAAUUCUCUUUAGGUUAGUAAAUGAAUCUGGUAGUUGAUUGGCAAUGUUUUGCAAAUGUAUGAUCCUUUGAACUUCUUGUUCAUAUUGACUUGUGCGAGGAUCUAAUUGAGAUAAUGAUGAUCCAUUCCAUAUAAUUUCUUUUACCAGUUGUAUUUUCUCUCCCUUAAUGUUGAGAAUUUUGUUUCAUCUAAAUGCCAAUUAAUAAAUUGUGCAGUAAAUAAAUAUCUAGUUAAUGGUUCAACAUACUUAAUUAUAGAAGGAGAUUCAUAACCAACAUAUAUCCCCAACCUCCUUUGGGGACCCAUUUUUGUGCGUUGUGGUGGAGCAAUUGGAACAUAUACUGCACAUCCAAAAAUUGUAAGAUGGGAAAUAUUUGGCUCCUGACCAAAAGCCAAUUGUAAUGUGGAGUAUUUAUUAUAACUUGUUGGCCUAAAGCGCACAAGUUUUGCUGCAUGCAAAAUAGCACAUCCCCAAGCUGUAACAAGGAGUUUUGUUCUCACAAGCAAUGGUCGAGGUAUUAGUUGGAGUCGUUUGAUAAACGAUUCAGCUAAACCGUUUUGUGUGUGAACAUGAGCUACAGGAUGUUCAACUUUUAUCCCAAUUGACAUACAAUAAUCAUUAAAAACUUGGGAUGUAAACUCACCAGCAUUAUCAAGACGAAUAGUUUUGAUUGCAUAAUCUAGAAAUUAUGCUCUUAAUCGAAUUAUUUGAGCAAGUAGUCUCGUAAACGCCAGGUUGUGAGUCGAUAAUAUACACAUGUGAUCACCUACUAGAUGCAUCUAUCAAUACCAUAAAAUAGCUGAAUGGUCCACAUGGUGGAUGAAUGGACCCAUAUAUAUCACAUUGAAUAUGGUCCAGGAAUACGGGAGAUUCAAUCCCAACUUUAGCUGGUGAUGGUCUAAUAAUCAAUUUUCCUUGAGAGCAAGCAACACAAGAUAAAUCCUUAAAUUCAAGAAUCUUCUGGUUCUUUAAUGGGUGUCCAAUUGAAUUCUCGAUGAUUCUUCGCAUCAUAAUAGAUCCGGGAUGGCCUAAUCGGUCAUGCCAAAUAGUAAAAGUAUGUGGUGCUACAAACUUCUGGUUUGUAGUAACACAUAUCUCAAUUGCACUAAUAUGUGUAUAAUAUAAACCUGAAGAAAAAGCAAGUAGCCUUUCCAAAACAUAUUUCUUUCCACAUUCAGCAUUUGUAAUAUAUAGAUAUUCAAUAUUUUUCUCAUUCAUAGUCUCAAUACGAUAUCCAUUAAGACAAAUAUCUUUAAAAUUUAAUAAAUUUCUUUGAGAAUUAGUGGAAUAUAAAGCAUCAUCAAUAACAAAUUUUGUACAUUUAGGUAAUAAUAUAAUAGCUCUUCCAGAGCAUUCAAUAAGUUUUGAACUAUCCGAUAUUGUAUUAACAUGGGCAUCACUUAUUGCCAAAUGAGAAAAAUAUUUUUUUAUCUUUGAGUAUCGUAUGUGUUGUAGCACUAUCUACAAGACACAUGUCUCCAUUGAUUUUGGGUCCAACGGAAUUUUGUUGAAUAUUUAUAUUCUUCAUAAAAAUAAACAAAAUAUAAUAUGAUAAAUAUUGUAAAUAUUUAUUAAAUAUAUAAAUUAUUCUUUAUGCAAGAAAAUAAAACAUACUUAAAAUAAUUUAAAAAUAUGAAAAUAACAUCAACUUUUCUAAUGAUUCUCAAAGAAAUCUGCUACAUCUAAGUGAGUUAUAUUAUUAAGGUCAUAUUCUUACAAAUUCUGAUAUCCAAUAUAUGAUUGAAAAUGUUAAAUUCAAUUUUUUUUUCAGUUUUGAAUACCCGACAAAUAGUGAUAUUAAAUUUCGACGAUAAUACUCACAUAAUUUAUAAAUAAUUUUCAAAUUUUAAAUUUUAAACAAUUCACGAAUUUGAGUAAUUUAAAAAAAGAAGCAAACAUUUGAUCUGCUAUCAUUCCUAGUUACACUAUUUACUAUCUAUUUUGAACUUUAAAUUUUGUAUUAUUUGUCCAAAGAAUUAGUUAGAUAGACAAUUUAUACUAUUAUUUAAAUUUCUGAUUAAGUUAGUAUCACGAGUUAAUUAGACAUCAAUUUAAUUAGGGAGAUUUUGAAAAUGCCUUUUCGUAUUUAAAAUAAAUUAUAUUAUUCUAGUUAUUUUAGUCUUUUUAUUUUUUAAGAACAAUAAAUAAUUUGCAUAUGGUAGGAUUUGAACCAUAAGUCAAUAAAAUUUUAAUUUACCAUUUAAUCAAUGUUUUAUCAUAAAAUAUUUUAUAAAUUUAAUUUUAUUAUGCAUACUUUAUUAUCUCUAUAAAUUAUAUAUUUGUACUUAUAUUAUUAAUGUUUAAAACCUUAACAGAAUUGAUAGGAGUCAACCGAGUGCCAAUUCGAUUAGAAAAAUUACAAAAAUACUCUUCUUUAUUUAAAAUAAUUUCUAUUAUUCUAGGGUGUUUUAGUCCUUUUUAUAUUUUAAAAGAACCCAAAAUAAUUUAUAUAUGGUGAGAUUUGAACCAAUGCCUUUGGUUGAUAAACUUUAACUUCACCACUCAACAAAUGCUUUAUCAUAAAACAUUUAUAUAUUUUAAUCUAAUUUUUAUUUUAAUAUCGUACAUAUUGUAUUUGUCAUUAUUAAUUAAUUUUAAACCAUACAUUUUAUUAUUUAUUGUAUGUUAUUUUUAAAUACACUCCUAUAUUUUAAAUAUAUAAUUUUUACACCCAUGCACAUGUGAUAAAAUUUCUAGUAUAAAUAAAUUGAUUGACUUGAAGGUUCCAUUUUCUUCCAUAAUUAGAGGUUGGGAUGCAAACAUUUGCUAAUGUUUUGGUGUCACUUAUGAACUACUGUGCAAAUCAUAUAAUUUGAUGCUAGGAGCAGAGCAGAGCAGUGGUAGCAUGGCAACAUGCUAAUCUCCACCUCACAAUCACAAACGUCCGAAGUUAUUCAUGAAAUUCUUCUGUCUUGGCCAGCUCAAAUCGCAAAUGUUAAAUGGAUUUAUGGAACAACUUUAAUAAUUAAUCUUACGUUAUAAAACAACUAAGUUUCCCUUUUCAAACACUAUAAAAUCCCCUCUCUUCGCUCCAAAUUUUCCAUCCUCAAGCUAUACAACUCUUUCAUUUCUACAUUAGGCAAGAAGCUCCUAGGGUUUGAGAGAGACGGCUUCGAAAAGAUCAGCAUCACUUGCCCUCUUUUUUGCACUCAACAUUCUCUUCUUUUCUCUUGUCAGUGCUUGUGAUUCUUGCCCUUCCCCAAAACCAAGACCAAAGCCCACACCGUUCCCAUCUCCUUCUGCAAAAGGCAAAUGCCCUAGAGAUGCCCUUAAAUUAGGUGUAUGUGCAAAUGUGCUUGGUUUAGUCAAUGUCACUAUUGGUUCACCCCCAGUGCAGCCAUGUUGCUCCCUUCUCCAAGGCCUUGCUGAUCUUGAAGCUGCUGUUUGCCUUUGCACAGCAAUCAAAGCCAACGUUUUGGGCAUCAACCUCAAUGUCCCAGUUUCCCUCAGCUUACUUCUCAAUGUCUGCUCAAGGAAAGUUCCAUCUGGCUUCCAAUGUCCCUGAUCACUGUUGCAAAUUCUUUCUCUUUUUGGUGUUUUUCAUGGUUUUGAAGGUCUAAUUAAUUGUCUGUUCGCAUUGGUAACUCCUUGUUUCCUUGUGGAUUCAUAUUGAAUAAAUAAACUACUAUUUAUUUAUGAAUAAUUAUCCUAAACAUACGCGAGGAUUUGGAUUGAUACAAUUAAUUUUUAAGAUAUAAUAAAAUAAUAAUUAAAAAAGAUAUUUGACAUCAUGAAGUUUUUUAAUUGAAUAAUUACCUUUUAUUUAUUUAACUAUUUUUUCUUAGCAAAUAGAUAAUUUCAUUUGUUUUGAAUUUUUCAUUUUUGAAAAUGUUCACAAUAGCUUACAUGAAAAUGAAAGAAGAGUGUUUUAUCCUCUUGUACCAAUUCAUCCACCAUAAUGCGUCUAUCCAACCCAAUAAUACUGUUAGCUAAAAAAAACCUCGAAUAAUACUUAGAUUCGAAUUAAUGGAAUUAAUCCAAUAAGCACCGAGCAUCUAAAGCAAACAAGGGUAAUGUUGAAGCUUUAAGCUCAAUUAGUGAAGAAUCAUCAAACAAACAAUAAAAAUUCUAAAAAACUCAAAGAUACGGGUACAUUAGAAAAUAAUACUAGGUUGACUUGAAAUGCUUAAAUGAUCUAAUAAAAAUAAAAACUUAACCGGUCCAAUUAAAUUCUUAUAUUAUUCUUAAAUAAAAAUUUAAUCCUAUUUUAAUUACUAAAUUAUUCAACUCAUUGUAAAUUAGCCAACAACAUAAAAGAUGUUAAAACGAAACAUGCCAAUCAAAGAAUUAAAUGAAAAUAAUAUAAUAAUAAAUAAUCUUCAAAAUAGUUGUUGCAAUUGAUGGUGCGCUUAAUUACCAUAUUUUUAUAAUUUAUUUUAAUUAAUUUUGACACUUAAUUCAUCAUUUCUAUGUAAGUACAAUAAUUGUCUAAUGUGUUGAAAAUCGAAUUAAAAGGUGAAAAUUUGGAAUGAGAGCUAGUAUAACAUAUGAGAAUAUUAGAUUUUAGGAUUAUUUUAAUAUUAUUAUAAUAUUGAGGAAAGAGGAGGGGAUGAUAGUAUUUGAACUCGUAUCGUAUUAUCUACGUGUUAGACAAGAGUCCUAACCGUUACUCAAAAUAAGUUAUACACAUAGCAUCUUUUAUUAAUAAAUAAAAUAUUAUUUUUAUUGAUUUUGAAUUCUUAAUUAAUUGCUUUUUUCCUUUAAAUUAUUCUAUCAAAUUUAGAUAAUAAUAACUAAUCUCUUUGUCAUGGAUGUUUUUUGUGUAAAAAAUAGAACACCGAUAAUGUCAAUUUAUCGCAAAGAAAAAGAGAAAAAAAAUAAAGAACACACAGAUUUUACGUGGAAACCCUUUCGGGAAAAAAAAUCACGGGCAGAGGAGAAGGUAAUUCACUUUGUCGAAUUCGAAUUAAUUACAAGAGGAGUAAACUAUGUCUAUUUAUAGGCUUGUAAAACCAUAUUCUAAUAGUAGUGUAGUAAGAUUGAAACACCUUAUUCUAAUCAAUAUCAAAUAGAUGGAGUUUAAUAAGGUUUAAAAAUCUUAUUCUAAAAUAAAAUAAAAGAAGUAUAAUUCUAUAGGGAUUUUACUUUUAUUUUAUUUUACCAUUGUAUUUUAAGGAUUCGGGUCACUUAAUUCUAACAAUCUCCACCUUGACACAAAUUCUUAAUGAACAAGUUCUUCAUCGCGAACUCUCAACAAACAAGUUCUCCACCUCUUCCAUAAAAACCCUUAUGGGUUUAACUUCAACAAUGAACACCAACCAAGUCUAAGCAAUGGUCAAACUUGGUUAUAGGAAGUGACUUAGUCAUCAUAUCUGUAGGAUUUUCAUGAGUACUAAUUUUGCUCACAACAAUAUCACCACAAGCAAUAAUAUCACGAACAAAAUGAUACCGAACAUCAAUGUGUUUUGUUCUCUCAUUAAACAUUUGAUCUUUUGUAAGGAAGAUGGCACUUUGACUGUCACAAAAUACUGUAUUGAUUUGAAGGUCUUCAUUGAGUUUACUAAAGAGUCCUUUCAACCAAAUAGCUUCUCUACAAAGCAACUGUGGUAGACAAAGUAAUCAUCGUUUAAUCAGCUUCAGUGGUAGACAAAGCAACUGUGGUUUGCAAAGUGGCUUUCCAACUGAUUACACAACCCCCGAUUGUAAAGACAUAACCUGUGAGAGAUCUUCUAUCAAGGUCUCCAGCAAAAUCAGCAUCAAUAUACCCAAUAACUCCAUCUCUGGUUCUUCUAAACUAUAAGCAAACAUCAGUAGCACCUCGUAAGUAUCUUAAAAUCCACUGAACUGCUUUCUAAUAUUCUUUACCGGGAUUCGCCAUGUAUCUGCUAACUACACUAAUUGCAUAUGAUAAAUCUGGACGUGAACAAACCAUAGCAUACAUGAGAGAUCCUACUGCACUAGAGUAUGAAACAUGUGACAUAUACUCAAUCUCAUCAUCUGAUUGUGGAGACAAAGCUGAUGGAAGCCUGAAAUGGGCUGCUAAAGGAGUACUAACAGGCUUAGCAUUCUGCAUAUUGAAUCUGCAAAGAACUUUCUCAAUGUACCCCUUUUGACUUAGGUACAAUUUACUUCCUUUUCUAUCUCUGAGAAUCUCCAUACCAAGUAUCUUCUUUGCUGGUCCCAAAUCUUUCAUCUCAAAUUUUUUACUUAGUUGGGCUUUGACCUUUCUUAUCUCUCAUUUAUCUUUCUCUGCUAUUAACAUGUCAUCAACAUAAAGGAGUAGAUACAUAAAAAAAACUAUCACUGUUUUUCUUAAAGUAAACACAACCGUCAAAGCUACUUCUUUUGAAAUAAUGAGAAGUCAUAAAGGAAUCAAACCUCUUGUACCACUGUCUUGGUGACUGUUUCAAACCAUAAAGAGACUUUUUCAACAAGCAAACAUAGUUCUAUUUUUCUGAGACUGUAAAACCCUCUGGUUGUUACAUGUAAAUAUCCUCAUUAAGUUCUCCAUGCAAAAAUACAAUUUUUACAUCUAACUGCUCAAACUCCAAAGCAUGCAUGGCCGCAAUACCAAGCAAAGCUCGAAUCAAACUAUGCUUCACAAUUGGGGAGAACACAUCUGUGAAGUCCACUCUUGGAAUUUGACUGUAACAUUUUGCAACAAGCCUUGCCUUAUAUUUGGGUUCUUUAACUCCUGGAGUCCCUUCUCUACUUUUAAACACCCAUUUACAAUGAACAACCUUUUUACCUUUAGGAAGUUUCACAAGACCCCAUGUUUUGUUUUUGUGGAGUGAUUCUAUCUCCUCUUGCGUAGCAAACAUCCACUUUUCUGAGUCCUCACAGCUAACCGCAUCAGAAUAAUUAGAUGACUCUUAGUUUGCAUCUAUAUCUUCAGCCACAUUUAAAGCAAAAGUAACUAGAUCAGCCUCGAUAUACUUCUUUGGAGGUUUAAUUUCUCUUCUAAUUCUAUUUUUGGCGAUAGAGUAUUGUGGUGAAAAAAUAACUCUAUUCUGAAUUUUUGUAUUGGCUUGAGGAGUCGAGUCUGUUGUAGAUUCUGAAUUAGUCUGAUGCUCCACCUGCUUUUGAUUUUCUUUAUUGGAAGAGUCUUUAAGAGAAAAGUUAGGUAGCAUAACAGUUUCAUCAAAAACAUCUCUGCUAAUCACAACUUUUCUAUUUUCAGGACACCAUAAAUUAUACCUUUUUGCACCAGUUUUAUAACCAAGAAAAACACAUUUAAUGGAUCUCGGUUCCAAUUUUCCAUUAUCAACAUGAGUAUAUGCAGGACACCCAAAGAUUUUAAAUCAAAAUAGUCAGUAGAAUUACCAGACCAUACCUCUUGUGGAGUCUUUUUCUCAAUGGAAACGGAUGGAGAUUGGAUGAUCAAAACACAUGCAGUAGCGGUUGUUUUGGCCGAAACUGACUUUGGUAAGUUGGCAUUUGACAACAUACAUCGAACCUUCUCCAUGAUCGUUCUGUUCAUUCGUUCUGCAAUGCCGUUUUGCUGUGGAGUAUGACGAAUUGUCAAGUGUCUCACGAUCCCUUCUGACUUGCACAAUUUAUUAAACUCAUCAGAACAGAACUCUAAGCCAUUGUCUAUGCGAAGGUAUUUUAUUUGUUUUCCCAUCUAUUUUUCAAUCAUAGUUUUCCAAUACUUAAAUGUGGAAAACACAUCGCUUUUCUACUUCAGGAAGAACACCCACACUUUUCUGGAAAAAUAAUCAAUAAAAGUUAACAUAUAAUUAGCUCCACCUCUCGAAGGUACUCUAGAUGGCCCCUAUAGGUCAGAAUGAAUAUACUCCAACGUUCCCUUCAUGUUAUGGAUUCCUUUGGUGAAUUGAACUCUCUUUUGCUUCCCAAAAACGUAGUUCUCAUAGAACUUCAGUUUGCAAAUUCCUUGCCCAUCAAAAAGUCCUCUUUUGCUCAAUUCGGCCAUGCCAUUCUCACUCAUAUGCCCUAGGCACAUAUGCCAAAGUUUAGUAAUAUCAUCAUCUAACAAGGAAGAGGAUGAGACAAUUGCAUCACCAAUAACAGUAGAACCCUAAAAAAUAUAUAACUUGGCAGUCUUUCUCGGCCUUUUCAUCACAACGAGGGAACCUUUGGAAAUCUUCAAAACCUCACUUUCAGCAGUGUAUUUGUACCCUUUUGAAUUAAGAGUACUCAACGAAAUUAAAUUUCUUUUCAAUUCUAGAACAUGACGUACAUCACUAAGUAUUCUGACAACUCCAUCAAACAUAUUAACUUUAAUUGUUCCAACACCUACAAUUCUACAUGAAGCAUUAUUUCCCAUAAAAAUAACACCUUCAGACAUUAUUUUGUAAGUUGGAAACCAAUCUCGAUUGGGACUCAUGUGGAAGGUGCAACCCGAAUCAAGGAUCCACUUUUUACUCGCUUUAGAAUUGUUAACAGAAGUGACUAGAAGUUCACCAUCACUGUAGUCUUCUAUAACAUCAGCUUUACCAGAAUUUUCUAGUUGUUUUUUAGUUUGAUUCGCAACCUCCCUUUUGAUCUUGUUCUGUAGCUUAUAGCACUCAGAUUUAAUGUGCCCUUUUUUCUUGCAGAAGUUACAAGUUUUACCUCUGUUUGAAGACUUCGAUCUACCUUUAGAUUUACCGUGAGGAUUCCGUUCCUGUGUCCUUUCACGAUCAUCAUCAACAUUUCGAUCUUGUCUUCCACGAACAAUGAGACCGUCUCCCUAAGAGUCAGUUUUAACCACAAGAUGCUUCAUCUUAUCAUACGAGGUAAAAAAUCAUAAACCUCAUCAACUGUGAGAGACUCGCGACUAUAUAAAAUCGUAUCUCUAAAGGUUGAAUAAGACAGAGGCAAUGAAUAAAGUAGAAUCAACCCUAGAUCUUCCUUAUCAUACUGAACCUCCAUGGCCUCCAAGUUUGAGAGAAUUUCUUUAAAAACUAUUUAGUGUUCGUGCAGAGAGGCACCUUCCUCCAAACAAUGAGCGUAAAGACGCUGCUUCAUAUGCAGUUUGCUAGUUAGAGUUUUUGCCAUACAUAUUUGCUCCAACCUCUUCCAUAACCCAGCGGUGAUCUUGUCCUUCAUCACAUCCUGUAAAAUUUCGUUAGACAAAUACAAAUGUAACUGUGUUAACACCUUUCGAUCUUUGUGUUUCUUCUCUUCUUCCGUCAAUGUUGAAGGCAUCUUAUCUACCCCUAGCAGGGCUUCCUCUAAGUCCAUCUGUGCAAGAACUGCCUGCAUUUUUAUCUGCCACAACGCAAAUCUGGUGUUGUGAUCCAAUAGUGAAAUUUCAUACUUAAAAGACGUCAUUACCGUGAUUGAGAUGAACCCAGAAGCUCUGAUACGAAUUUGUAAAAAAUAAAACAUUGAUAAUGAUAAUUUAUCGCAAAGAAAAACAGAAAGAAAAAUAAAGAACACACAUAUUUUAUGUGGAAACCCUUUCGAGGAAAAAAAUUACGGGCAGAGGAGAAGAUAAUUCACUAUGUUGAAUUCGAAUUAAUUACAAGAGGAGUAGACUAUGUCUAUUUAUAGGCUUGUAAAACCAUAUUCUAAUAGUAGUGUAGUAAGAUUGAAAUACCUUAUUCUAAUCAAUAUCAAAUAGAUGGAGGUUAAUAAGGUUUAAAAACUUUAUUCUAAAAUAAAAUAAAAGAAGUAUAAUUCUAUAAGGAUUUUACUUUUAUUUUAUUUUACCAUUGUAUUUUAUUUAAAUAAGGAUUUGUGUCACUUAAUUCUAACAUUUUGGAUAGAUAGAAAUGUGUUUUAUUCUUUCAUCGAGAUAAGGGUAGCUUUCUUUAAAACUUGCAUGGAAUGAAAAUGGAAAACAAAAGGAUAUGCAAUUUAGGUGAAUGAAAUGUGGAUAGCCAUAGUUAGAGUAUGGCUGAGUCAGGAAUUGGCUUCUGUUAUAAUUCUGUUAAGUCUAAUUGUUAGUUGCUGUUAGUUACUAAUAACUGUUAGUUGUUAUGAGCAGUUAUCAGCUUUAUGUUGCCUAUAUAUGUUCUGGCACAACUUCUUCUCAAAUAUAAUUUUUAAUGUAUUCUUUCUCUUGAUUCAAUACAAGAUUUAUUCAGUAUAGAAUUUAACAUGGUAUCAGAGGUUUGCUCGUUCUUGAGGUAGUCGUUCAUGACUUCUCCUUUCAGCCCAUCUGCUGUUCAAUCUGUUGCACCGGUGAUGUCAUUCGUUCUACCAGAUGAAGUGGUUGAUAGUCAAUUUUUCUCUACCAAAAAGAUCAGCGUGCUUCUUGAUGAUCAUAAUUACUUAUUGUGACGUCAGCAAGUUCUCUUAGCAGUAAAAACUUAUAAGCUUCAGAAGUUUAUUGACCCGCAGUUUGUUCCUCAUUCUCAGUUUUUUCUUGAUGAUAAUGGUGUCUCGCAAGAAAAUCCAGAGUUUGCUCAUUUUGAACAAUAAGAUAGUGCUCUUGUAUCGUGGUUAUUUUCAUCGGUGAGUACUGCUAUUUUUCCUCAUCUUAUUGGGCUUGAUACGAGUCUCUAGAUUUGGAAUGCUCUUGUUAGUUUGUUUGGCAGCAAAACUACUUCUCAGUUAAUGUUUUAUAGAAGGGCAUUACAUUCUCAGCGUAAGGCUGAUCUUUCUAUGAAGGAGUUCUUGAUGAAAAUUAAAGGCUACUGUGAUAGCCUUGCUAGUUGUGGAGAGGCUAUUAGUGAACGAGAACAUGUUACAGCUAUCCUUAAUGGUCUAUCGUCCGAGUAUAAGUCAGUGCUUACAAUCAUUAUUGCGAGUUCAGUUCCUUACAGUGUCCGGAGUGUUACUACUAUGUUACUUAAUGCUGAAGCUCGUCAACAACUCGUUGUGUCUGAUGCUCCUAGUUCAGCCAACAUGGUCACUCAUCAGCCUGCUAUUUUUACCGAUAAUAAUUCUUCUCUACCAGUUUAUCAACCCUCGUCAAGUGCUCGUGGUCGGGGGCGAGGUUGUUUUUCAGGUUCACGUUUUCAGUGCCAAUUAUAUAGGAAGGUUGGUUAUCUUGUUGAUCGAUGUUAUUACCGAUUUGAUACCAUAUAUAAAAGUACAGGCUAUAGGUUGUCCCCUUCUCCUCAGGCCAAUGUUUGCAUGGUUGGCAAUGGAGCUUCGCCUCAUCCCUAGAUGCCACCUUUCCUACAAGUGAUGCCUGCCUAUUCACAAUAGCAAUAGUAUGCCCCUCCUGCACCUACUCAGCUGUAGACUAAUCCUUUUACUGCUAAUCCUUUGCAGCAUGCUAGUACAUCUGUCCCAUGGCCAUCAUCAUCAAUUCAUUCCCAGGCUCUUAUUGCUACACCUGAAACUGUGGGUGAUAAUGCAUGGAAUCCAGACCCAGGCGUGUCCCACCACCUCACCAAUUCUCUUACUUCUCUAUGUGACAGUACACCAUACAUUGGCUCAGGUAAGUUGUAUAUGGGCAAUGGUAAUGCUCUCUCUAUUAGAUCAACUGGUCAGUCUUCUCUUCUUAUACGAUCACGUUCUUUGUUCUUGAAGUCUCUAUUGUGUGUGCUUGGGAUAACCAAAAAUCUAUUAUCGGUAUAUAAGUUUACAAAAGAUAAUCGAGUAAUGUUUGAGUUUUUACCUACACAGUUUCGAUUUCGCGACCUUCAAACCAAUGAGGUCCUGCUCUGAGGUUCUGUGCAUAGUGGGCUGUACAAGCUUGACUUAUCUGGCUCGUCUCAACCAGCUGGGUUCCCUACUUCAGAUCACUGCUGUGCUAUUGCUAAGCUCCUCUCUCUUAGUCUAUGGCACUCUAGACUAGGACACCCUUGUAUUGCUACGCUUAAAAAGGCGGUACACCGUUGUAAUAUAGAUUGUGGCUCAUAUGCAGAUUCUUUUUCGUGUGUUGCUUGUCAUUUAGGCAAAGAAUGCAACCUGCCAUUUUUUAAGUGUACCUCUGCAUAUUCCACGCCGUUAUAAUUGAUAGUUGCAGAUGUUUGGGGUCCUGCUCCAAUUUUCUUUAAUGGCUUUCGUUACUAUGUAGCCUUUACUGAUGCAUGUACCAGGUACACAUGGAUUUAUUUUUUUAAAAACAGUCUGAAGUGCUGCAUAUUUUUCCACUAUUUCAUAAACAAGCAGAACGGUCUCUUGGUUGCAAACUGCUUGCUUUACAAACCGAUGGGGGUGGCAAGUUCCAAGCGUUAAGGAAUUACUUGUCUUAACAAGGUAUUUAGCAGAAGAUAACGUGUCUAUAUAGUUCUGAGUAAAAUGGAUUAGUUGAGAGAAAAUAUAGGCAGAUCGUGGAGGUUGGCUUAUCCAUGCUAGCUCAUGCUGCUAUGCCUUUGUCUUACUGGAAUGAUGCCUUAAGCAGUGCGGUAUACUUGAUAAACAGGUUACCUUCUUCUCCUAUAGGUAAUAUGUCACCCUAUGAGAAAUUAUUCCAGGUUCCGUCGGACUAUUCUUUUCUUCGAGUCUUUGGAUGUUUAUGUUUUCCAAAUCUUCAGCCAUAUAACACUUACAAACUACAGUUUUGUUCCAUCCCCUGCACGUUCUUAGGUUAUUCAUCUCUACAUAAGGGUUAUCGGUGUCAGGAUGCUAAUGGAAAAUUGUAUAUUUCCUGUCAUGUUACAUUUCAUGAGUCAUCGUUUCCUUUCAAAAAAAAAGAGUCACUCAAACCUGGUCCUACCACCACUGUCUCAUCAAAGUCUAGUUCCAAGUUACUUGUCAUGCUUUCUCGUUCUCCACCACCCACUACAUCAACUACAACUCAUAAUACUCCUUUGGCGUCUAGUAAUAGUACCUCCCCUAGUCCAACAUCUAUCUUACCUAGUCCAUCUUAUCAACCUACUGCUUCUACAUCACCUCAACCUACUUCUUGUCCACCUAUUGCUUCCUUACUAUCUUCACCUACUACGUGUCACCCUAUUGUUAUUCAACCCACUACACAACUCAAUACUCAUGCCAUGGUCACACUAGCAAAGCAAGAAUAUUUAAACCCAAUGCAUACCUAACCACAAUAGUCUGUUCAUUAAGUGAUACACUUGUUGACAUUCAUGAAGCAAUGAAGAAUGAGCAUUAGCAAGUAGUAGUGCACAAUGAGCUACAGGCCCUACGUAACAACAAUACAUCGAGUUUAUGCUCUCUUUCCGUUAAUCGAUGCGCUGUGGGUUGCAAAUGGUUGUUCAAAGUAAAGAAAAAGGCCGAUGGGACAGUGGACAGGUAUAAAGCUUGGUUAAUGGCCAAGGGCUUUUCUCAACAUGCUAGAGUUGAUUUUUGUGACACAUUUAGCCUGGUGGUUCGUGCAGCAACCAUCCGAAUCGUGCUUGCUACUGCUGUUAUGAGAUGUCAACAACGCCUUCCUCAAUGGCAAUUUGACAGAAGAAAUCUACAUGGAGCAGCCACCUGGUUUUGAGGUGUCAGGUGCCAAUGGUCAACAACUAGUGUCCAAGCUGAACAAAGCGUUUUAUGGCCUGCGCCAAGCGCCUAGAGCAUGGUUUCAUACACUUAAACAAUGCUUGGUUACUCAGCUUGGUUUUAAUACCUCAAGGGCUGAUACUUCAUUAUUUAUUCGUACUUCAUCAGGGAGCGUGGUGCUACUUAUAGUAUAUAUAGAUGAUAUUGUGCUAACAAGUAGUUCAAAUGAUGAGGUGAUAGUGUGGUCCAUCAACUUCAUAAUAGAUUUGCUCUCAAAGACAUUGGGCAGCUAGAUUUUUUCUUAGGUAUUGAAGUACAACAUAUGUCACAAGGGGUGUUGCUCAGUCAGAAAAAAUACAUCUUAGAAAUUCUUGCUAAGAUUGGUAUGAUAGGAGCUGCAGCUGUUCCUACACCUAUGGUAAGUGUUCCAAAAUUAACUGUUUCAGAUGGCAGUCCUCUUUCACUGAUAUUCAUCUAUAUCGACGUAUAGUAGGGAUGCUCCAGUAUCUGUUCAUCACACGACCAGAAUUAUCCUUUUGUGUUAACAAGUUGAGUUAGUAUAUGAAUUGUCCAAGUGAGACUCAUUGGAGAGCAGUCAAACGUGUGCUAAGAUAUCUUAUUGGGACUAGUGACCAUGGUUUGUUUUUCACCAAAGGGCAUGUUGAGGUUGUUGGGUACUCAGAUGCUGACUGGCCUCGUCUGUUGAAGAUCGGCGUUCCACCACAGGGUAUGUCGUGUACCUCGGGCAAAACCCUGUUGCGUGGUGUUCAAAGAAACAAAAUGUUGUGUCCAGGUCAUCCUCUGAAGCAGAAUAUCGAAGUCUCUUCAACUGUGUGUUAGAGCUUUUGUGGGUUAAACAACUGGUAGAUGAGGUUGGUUUGUCACAGUCGAUACCUGUGAUCUAGUGCGACAAUACAUCGAUAGUAGCUAUAACUGCAAACCCCACACAUCAUCUCGAAUGAAGCAUGUAGAAAUUGGUUAUCACUUUAUUCAGGAAAAGAUUCUCACUAGAGUUUUGCAGGUAAACGUUGUCCCAUCAUCAGAUCAAAUUACGGAUGUUCUUACCAAGCCAAUUACACCUAAGCAGUUUGAAUCAUUUCGGCAAGCACUUCGAGUCUUCACACUCAACGAGGUUUCCAAAUGUUCAAACAACAAAGAAACUGGGAGAAUGUUAGAAUAUGGCUAGUCAGGAAUUGACUUCUAUUAUAAUUUUGUUAAGUCUAAUUGUUAGUUGCUAUUAAUUACUAAUAAUUGUUACUUGUGAUGAGCAGUUAUCAGCUUCAUGUUGCCUAUAUAGGUUCAGGCACAGCUUUUUCUCAAAUAUAAUUUUUGAUGUGUUAUUUCUCUUGAUUAAAUACAAGAUUUAUUCAGUAUAGAAUUUAACAGCCAUCACAUUCAUAGGUUUGCAGGCAGUUUAGACGCAUAUCACAUAAAGUAAAUUUGUUUGUAUUAUAGAAUUGGGUCCAAAUUAAAAAAGAAGGAAUAUAAUACAUUGGAUCCAUUUUGAAGGCUUGAAUGAUUUGCGGUUGAGAUCUUUCACGGGUUGCUAAUCAUAUACUUAAAAACGAAAUGUUGGUUUGAUAGAAGCUUAAUUAAUAACAAGCUCUCUUAAUAAAGUCGUAUAUUCCCCUCAUAUGAACUAGGGCUGGAUAUUCAAGAUUGUUAGGUCUCAUUAUACCCAACAAGUUUUCUUGGAAAUCUCUUAUAUAAGCAUCCAAUUUAAUAACAAAAAUAAAAAUUAAAACCAAAUUGUAUGCAGCUGACAAUGUCAAUAUCUGGUCAAACAAAUACUUUCUUGGUAAAAUCUUUUCAACUUUCGAUGGUGAAUUUUGUUUGUGAAAAUGUUUUUAUUUUAUUUUAUUUUCUAUUUUCAUUUUUUUUUAAAAAAACCAAUAGAUUUUAGUAAAACUUGACAUGACAAAUGAGUUAAAAAUUGAUGCUUGUUUUUAAAUUAUAUUUAAAAUAUUAGACAUUGAGGAUGGGUGUGACAAAACAAUUUCAAUGAAAUUAUAAGGAAUGAACUACAAAUUAAGAGAUUGUUUAUUCUGUAUUUGCAAUCAACUUCUCAUAUAUUGAAUCACAUCUGUUAAAGGGAAUCAAGCUAAAGAUUUUGUGUCAAGUUUUACAGACAUAUGGUGACAAUAUAUAUUGUCCACCUCUGCCACGUGGGAACCUGUUUUUAGUUUUUCUUUUGAUAAAAAAACCCUGCCUUACCUGGAUCCACUUAGCUUAAGUUGAAGAUAAAAUUAAUAUUGACUUCAUUAAGUUUCAGUAAUUUCUGUAGUGGAAAGAAAAUUCUGGUUUCAGUCAAGACAUGACAAUGUAUAUUAUUGUAAAUGAAAUUCUUUUUUAGAUGAGGGCACGGAGUCUAUGGUGGAACCCAAUACUCAUCCGUCAUACUUCUGUGAGAUAUUCAUUUUUUCUUUUUCUUAAGUAACAUGAAUUUUUUACAAGUAUAUAUUUGUAAAGAGGAGAUUCAUAAGCUUCUCAAGGCUGCUAAAUUUUUUUUUGAAAUAUGACUUUUUUGAAAAAACAUAUGGUUCUAAAUACAAAUUAUUCUAAAUAAUGGUUAUUCUAAACAUAAUUAUUCCCAAAACGUUAUUAUUCUAACCAGAGAUGUUUUGAACUUUAGCUAAACUUUAUUAUGAACAAAGUUAUUUUGGACAUAAUUAUUUUCAAAUAACAAUUAUUUUAAACAACAAUUAUUCUUAACUAGAGUUAUUGUUCUGAAGGAAAUAUUCUUGAUAAUACAAUUUCUUCAAAUAUAAUAUUUUUAUCUUAAGGAAGAGAUAACAUGUUUACCUACAAUUCCAAUAUUGUUCUUCAGCCUAGAAAACUUCCAUUGACAACAUGCAAACCUAAAAACCAUCCCUUAUGUUGGAUUGGGAUCAUUAGCUCAUUACAAUGAUCAGUAUCUAGCUGCAAGUUCUUUUGGGAUCUUGAAAUUCGAGGUAAAUGUGAAUGAUGUCUUUGUUGACUUUUGGAUUAACAUGCCAUGAAGAUGCAGGAUGCAUUCAGGAUUGGGAUAUAGCACAAUCAAAACAAAACAAAAUGAAACCGAAGAUCAACAUGAAGGUCUGACAGGAUAGCCUUCAACACGGAAGUAAUUAUGUUGUUUUGAACCUAAAUCUGUUUUUGUCUUCAGUAGUUAGUUGUUGUAAUUAUCCGAAUUUGGAACGGAUGAGAUAAUAAAAGUAAACGAUGUAGAUACUUAAAUAUUAAGUAUUAACUACCAUGUGUUGAAGACAAUUAAAGCAACCCAUUGUUUGAACAUUAAAUUCUAUACCUUUUUGUCCAAUAAUUAGCCUGAUAAUGCUCAUCGGAUGAAAAAUAUAGAUAGAUCAAGUGAUUUCACGAUCCCAUUAUCUUCCAUAAUUAAAGGUUGGGAUGCAAACAUCUUAAUAUGAAAUGCUGUUGCAAAACGAAUAAUUUGAUGCUAGAAGCAGUGGUAACAUGGCAAUAUGCUAAUAUUCACCUCAUAAUCACAAACGUCCAUAUUUCACGAACAUCGUCUCCUAAGCCAGCUCAAAUCGCAGAAUGAAAGUGAUAUAUGAUUCAAUUUUAUGAAUCAAGCUGACGUUAAAAACAACCAAGUCGCCCUUUUGAAACACUAUAAACCUCACCCUUCACUCCAAAUUCUCCAUUCUCAGAGUAUAUUACUCUACUUCUACUUUAGGCACGAAGCUCCUAGGAUUUGAGAGAGAUGGCUUCGAAAAGGUUAGCAUCGCUUACCCUCUUUCUUGUACUCAACAUUCUCUUCUUUUCUCUAGUCAGUGCUCGUGGUUCUUGCCCUUCCCCCAGCCCAAAACCAAACCCAAAACCCACUCCCUCCCCAUCCCCUUGUGCGAAAGGUAAAUGCCCCAUUGAUGCCCUUAAAUUAGGUGUAUGUGCUAAUAUACUUGGUUUGGCUAAUGUCACCAUUGGUACACCCCCAGUCCAACCAUGUUGCUCCCUUCUCCAAGGUCUUACUGAUCUUGAAGCUGCUGUUUGCCUUUGCACAGCAAUCAAAGCUAAUAUUUUAGGCAUCAACCUUAAUGUCCCGGUUUCUCUCAACUUGCUUCUCAACAUCUGCUCAAGGAAAGUUCCAUCUUACUUCCAAUUUCCCUAAUCAUGAUGUCAAAAUCUCUCGUCUUGGUGUUUUUUGUGGUUUGAAAGUUCUAAUUAUUUCCAAUUCCACUUCCCAGUGGUAAUUGCUUGCGGUAGCGUUUGUUUCCUAGUUGAUACAAAAUAAGUGUACUACCUUUUUUCUUUACAAAUGUUUUUUUUUUUUGUAAAUUUAAGGCAAAAUGAAAGUCUAAUAUCAUUCAGUUUGUGAUCAUAACCAUGAGUUACGCUAAACAUGCAAGUUAUGUUAGGAUUAUUUUAUUUUAUUAAGCAUCAUUAGUGAUGGGAUUUUUUGGAUUGAAUCAAAUUUAUUUCCCAAAUAAAAUUAAAGAUAUAUUAACUUCAUAAUACAUUAAAUUGGACCUCUGAUUAAAUUUUAAUUUAUUUGUAGUGUUCAUUGUGUAUUAACUUUAGUCCAAAUCAAGUAUAUAGCUAUAGUAUAGUUUGAUGUACAAAAGUUUAAAGUGUUUCAAACUAGUAUAGUAUUAAGUACGUUGGAUGGGUAGUGGUAACACUAGAGGUGCAAGCAAGGGCCUUGGCCCAUCCUUAGUCAAAUGCGAAAAAUUUUCCUUUCAAAAGUAAAAUCUUUCCAUUUAAGCUUUUAACUUUUGAAUGAAUGGAUAAUUUAUUUCUUUGCCCUCUAAAAAAAAUUAAUAAUGCAAUUUAAAAUUUUUUAACACAAAAUUUUAGCCCUGGUUUGUUCAAAAUUUUAUACUUUUAGUCCCCUAAAUAAAAUUCCUAACUUCGCCUCUAACGUUGGGUAUACAAUUGGUGCAUGGUGUAACAUUGCUUAUAAGAGAUCAUGACUCUCACAAAGAGUCAAUAUAUCCUCUUAAAGGUAUUAUAUCAUUGAUGGAAAUUGAGCAUGGUUAUAGAUCAUUUAUGAAAGGGAUAAAUCCCAAAACUAUACAUGAACUAUGGUUUUAAUGUGCAAUUGUAUACAUGAAUUUUGAUUUGUACAAUUUUAUACAUGAAAUUUUGAUUUGAUCCAAUUCUUGUAAAUUAUUAACACAAUUAUUAAUAUAACAUUAUUUUAUGUUUAUAUAUUGUACACAUCAAUAAUUAUAUUUAUCCAAUAUAAAAAUAAAUUGAUGUAUUUAUUUUUUUAAAAUGUGUAUGAUUAAAUCAAAAUUAAAGUUUCAAGUAUACAUUUGAACCACAAUUAGAGUUUCAUGUGUAUAAUUGCACCAAAUUAAAGUUCAUGUAUACAAUUUUACAUUAAAUCAAAAUUCAUGUAUAAUUUUGAGAUUUAUCCCUUUAUGAAAUUAUAUAAUUUAUCAAUUACUAGUUUUGUGGAUGAUAAUUUUCAUUAUGGAGUCUAUAAUGGAAUUUUUAAGAUAAUGUGAUUUAAAGUACGUGAACAAAUAUAAUUUUAGGAGGUUGAGGACAUCAUACUAAGUUUCACACAUAUAUAAUUGAAAGUUCAUACUUUCAGUCACACAAAUACAAUAGCCAACCCCAUGAAUAAUAUCUAAAAUUGUCUUGGAUUCCUUCAUUCACAAAGCUUUAAAUUCAUUUCAUAAUGUUUGGAGCCUUGCCUCCCUCAAUUUGUCAACUCUUUAGAAAGAACUUUGCAAAAUCUUUUUUUUAUUAUUCUUUUUUUUUGGCAGUGGCAUUGGUCACUUUUAUAAAUGUCAAGCUUGUUGAUUGUUCUUUCUUAUCUUCAUCAAAUCAUCCUUUUUAUUUUGAAAUAAUAAUGACUCAUUUUGUGAAAGAUCAUAACCAUUUUGUACAACCUCCCAAAUAUCUUGUGAGCCAAAUAAAACUUUCAUACAAAGACAUCAAUUUUCAUAGUUCUCCUUGGUAAGAUGAUGAAACUGAAAUUGAAACAUUCCAUUAUCUGUCACCUCUCAUACUACAUAAUCAAGUUUUAAUGCCUUUUUGUUGGAAGAAUAAGGAAGAAAGAAAACAAUUUUAGAGAAGAGAAUAGGAUGAAACUAAUUUUGCAUUAUGAAUUUCUUUUCUUUUCUUUUCCUUUUCUCAUUUUUUUUUAUUUUUUGCUUACAUUUGGUUACAACCUUCAUUUUCUAUUUAUAAUGACUUCUAAGCUAAUUUAAAACUCAAUUCUUAUUCAAGCAUUAUCUAAAGCUUGAUCGAAAAUCUUUAUCUAAAUCAACUAAUUGGCUAGGUCCUUAUCAAUGUUAUCAUCCUAACCCUUUGUUGCAAUAUGGGAAUAAAAUGAACUUAUGAGAAAUUAAGAAGGCUUCAAGACAAGUAUCAAUGACAUUUUCAUUAAAGUUCUAUUCGCCCCCACCUAUAUUAUGGCGUGCAAAAUAAUUAUGGACAAAUGUACCUUGAUGAUAUAAUAAAGCCCAAUGACUAUCUAUGUUUUGCACUAACGAAAAUAGUCCACUGAGCAUUGAUCAAACCAUAGUAAGAAUAUCAAUUUCCAUAAAGAACUUCUGCAAUAAUUCUUUGUAGAACAAUCUAGGAAUAUUAGAAGAUGGGGCAGAAUAGAAAGAAACUUUUGUUUCUCAACUUUUGAUGUGUUUUUUUGGUUUGUCAAACAAAUGAAAUUUGACUCUUAUUUAUAAGAAUUCUCAUGUCUCUUUAUAAGAACACAACUAUCUAAAUGGAUAGUCACAUCUUUUAACAAUAAACAUAAUGAUGCAAUAGAUGUCUCCUUGAAUAAUCAUGAUUCAUUGUUAAUAAUCAAGUGAUAUAAUUUUUGAAUUUAAUAGACAUAACUCGUCAUUAUGAAAUAUGAUAACUUCACUAUAUAUAUUUUGAAAAUGUUCCAAUGAUCCCUCCAUUUUCAGAAUAUUCUAGAUUUUGAUAAUCUUGGAAAUCGAUUGCAUAAAUGAAGAUGUCUUACGAUUGAACCUCCACUCAGUGAAAACUUUACUAUACUUUGAACCAAUUAUUCCAUUUGAUCUAAACAUAUUCAAAAUUGGCUAUUCAAUAACAUAUUCCAUUCAAUUUAAAACACAAACACAUAAUUAGGGCAUUUUGCACUUAAGCCCCUAAAAUUUACAUUUUUCACAAUUUAGUCCUUAUUUCACAAAACACAAUAUACACAUAAUUUCACUAUUUCAUGCUUAGGCCAAAUAUUCCUCAUGCUCAUACAAGUCAAUGAAUUUCAUUUAUUUCACAUUUUAGUCCCUCAAAAUAUUAUUUUCACAAUUUAGCCCAAAUUACUCAAAUUCAUCAAAAAUCCAAAGACAAAACAUUAUAAUCUAUCACAUAUCUUUUAUUUUCUAUCAUCAAAUAACAAAAAUAACAAACUAUCAUCAAUAGCAAAACACAAAAUCAUUCUCAAAUUCAAAAAUUAAAACAUGGGCUUUGUAGAUUUCAUAGCAACAAUCUCAAAAACGUAAAAAUUAUCAAAAAUCGAACAAAAACGAACCUUGAAUUAAGCUUGAUAGUAGCCAAAACCUUAAAAGCCAUGGAUGAUUUUCUUUCAUUGAUAUAUUUGGCCAACAAAGAUGAUAAUGGCUUUAAUUUAUGCUUUUGUUUUAUUUAAUUAUCAUAUAAUUAUUCAUUUCCAUUUUUAACCUUUAUAAUUUUAUUCCAUUUCCACUAAAUCAUGUCCAAAAGUGUCCAUGCAUAAAUUAAAUGGUCUAAUUGCAUCAUAAAUAUAUCAUGCUAUAAAGAAAACAACAAUUUGGCCCUUACAUAUUUAACUAUCAACUUUUUCAUCUUACGCGAUUAAGCCUUUUUAUUAAAUUGACACUCAAACGAUAAAAUUAAAACACGAAAAUUUCAUGGAUAUAAAUUCACACAGUAUAAACACAAAUAAUAAUAUUUAAAUACUUUUUUGACUCAGAUUUGUGGUCUCGAAACCACUGUUCCGAUUAGGGUUGAAACCGGACUAUUACAGUAAGGGUGGUCGGGACUUUGUUUUGGCUUUGACUUGUGAGUUUUCGUUGUUACAGCUUUAUGUCAGCAACUCAUUGAGGGUUAUUCAAUGUUAUUAUGAAAUUGAUUCAGAAUCUGAGAUAAUGUGUGUACACAUUUCUGAAUCUAUUUGAUUGGUGUAUGGGAGAUUGUAUGUGAUGUGGAUUCUGUAGCUGCACUAGAAUUCUGUAAUUGAUUGUCUAGAUGUGAGAUGUGAGUUUCUGUGUCCAACUAACUUUCUGGAAAUUUUGUAUUUUGAUUAUGUAUGCCUGUUUGCAUACAUACUUUUGCAUAAAAUUAUUUGGGGUUUGGUUGUGAAGUGAAAAAAGAGUGAUUUUGAUAAGAUCUGAUAGUUUAACUGCAAAUUAUCGAUACAGUGGUUUACCGCACUGUAUUGCAUGUACGUCAACUUUGCUGCGUACUAUUAUCUGAUUGGCAGUUUAAACUGAAACAUGUUUGUACAGCGGUUUACCACAAUGCACUGUACUGUAGAUACGUCAGCUUUGCUGUGUAUUAUUAUCUGAGUGGCUUAGUCCACAUACAUGGUGUGUAGGUUUGGAUGGGCCUUUCAUGGUCCUAUGCUCUAUUAGGGUGUAAUCGGAGGACGAAAAGGUGUUUUGGCUGGGUGGGUGAGUUUUCACUACUUGACUGCAUUCAUAAGCAUCUAUUUAAGUAUUUGGGUGUAAGUUUUUUUGUCUGCAUUCUGUCUGUUUGACUUAUCAUUUGUGAUUGUUCUUGUGUGUAAUGACGUUUGGUAACACCGUGUUUGUGAUGAUAAGUGUUUUGGCACCGACCCAUUAACGUGUUAUUAGUUGAGUCUCUGUCUAUGAUGUAGUGUGCUUGUUUGUUACGUUCUAUUGGGAUAUUAAUCUCAAAUUUAUCUUUUAUUUCUAUAUAUCUUUGUAAGUUUGUUUUGCUAUUAACCUGUUAUUUGGAAUUCUCUUCUGUAAAUCUGUUAUUAAUCGUGUAGAACUCACACUGAGCUCGUGUAGCUCACCUCCUUAGUGUUUCCCCUUGCAGGUACAUUUUCAUAUUCUGAUGCUGGACUCAGCAUGAUGGAGGUCUCUGAAGCAUCACAUUUUUAAAAUUAGUUAAUAAAGUAUUUUCUGUAAAUCUGAGUUUUAUAGAUAAACGGUUUGAAUUGUAAGUUUUAUUUUGAAUAUUGUGGUAAGAAUUUUGGGUUUUACGCACGUAAGCGUCUUUUGCACUAAAAUUUUUGUAAUAUCAAGAUUUUACAACAGAGAUUUUUUCGUAACUUAAAUACCAUAUGUUUUUUAAAUUUUUGCUACGAUCAUUUUGGUGAUCAAUGUAACCUCCGAGAUUCGGUCUAAACUUCUAGGCUGGGUUUUGGGGUGUUAUAGUUUUCCCGAAUAGUCAUAAUGUUUCUAUUGGAUAGAUAUCUGUUCAACUAAUGUUUGAAUUGUGUCAUCACCAUUCAAAACAAAACUAUUGUUUCAAUCCAUUAAUAGAUCAUUUCCUUACCGUGCUUCUUCAUUCCAUCCAUCUUCUUUCUUUCUUUAUUGCAUGAUAUAUGAUAUAUAUUAUAUACUUCUAUUCUAAUCACAAUCAUGCAUUUUAAAAUGUCAUGCAUACGAUAAACUAGCAUUUGAUUUUUGUCAACUAAUUGAUACACAAGACACCAACAUCCUUUUGCAUAAUAUUGUUCAAUAAACACAUUAUGAUUGAAAUCUAUUUAAUGCAAAGUAAAACAAUAAAUAUGACAUGCCUUUAUUUGCGAUAAAGAUCUCUUAUAAAUCAAAAUUUGACAAGAUCAAUAAUCUCAAUAUUGUCUCAUUCCUGAUAGCCAUCCUCGUAGUACCAUGCUUGUAGUGGCAUGUGAAUGCACAGUAAAUAUAGACAAUUCUCAUAAAUUGCAAAAUAUAGAACCUUAAAAUUGUUGGUGUAAGGAUAAAAAUGAACUUAUGAGAAAUUAAUGAAGGCUUCAAGGUGAGUAUCAAUGUCACUUUAAUUAAGGUUCUAUUCGCCCCCACUUAUAUUAUGAUGUACAAAAGAGCUACUGGCCAAUGAACCUUGAGGAUAUAAUAAAGCUCAAUGAUUGUCAAUGUUUUGCACUAAUAGAAAUAGUCCACUGAGCAUUGACCGGAGCAUUGAGGAUAUAAUAAAGUAAUAUAAAUUUUUUAUUUUAAGAGACAUAACUUGUCACUAUGAAAUGUGAUAACUCUUGAUUAAUAAUCAAGUGAUAUAACUUUAAGUUACUUGUAACUUUUCAUUUACAACUAUUAAAACACUAUAUAUAUUAAAAAUGUUCAAACACCCCUAACCUAAUUGUGAUCCAUAUAUACAAAAUCGGAUAAAACAAAUCUAAUCACAUGAACAAAUAGCAAGUUUACACUAGCAAACAUCAAAUACUUCUAAAUAACAUGUUUACACAUUUAGAAGCUUCAAAUUACAUUAUCCAACAUCAAAUGCUUCUAAAGCAACUUUAAUAGCAAUUGUCUCUGCAAAAUUCGACGCAUAAACAUGGCUACAUCUGAAUGUCCCCAACUUUCCACUAGAAGAGCCACCAACAUUGAACUUCAGAGCAUCCUUCUUUGGGCAAAUACACUUACAUUUACUUGUAAUAUUCUUAAAGCUGAUUUUAUAUUAGUUGUUAGGAAUGGUUUAGAUUUUCUUAUUUGUGUUUCUCUUGUGAACAUAUAAUAAAGAAUAUUGAUAUAGUAUUUAAUGGAAAUGCAUUCAUUCAAUUGAAAGGUAAUAAAGAGAAUAAAGCUAAUAAAAUGGAUGGGGCAUCAACCAAAAUAUUACUAAUUUAUCGAAUGAAUUUACAAACUUUAUAAAAAGAAUGUGAAAUUAAAAUUUGGGAGUACCAGACAUAAUUUUAUCAUAUUUUUAAAUGAUACAUGCUAUAUAUAUAAAAAAAAUUAAAAUUAUGAGAGAAUUUAAAAGGACUAGAUCCCUCAAAGCUUCUUUUUUUUUUUUCUCGGAAUUAAUGUAUUUUCAUGUAGAUUAAUUUUUUUGAGUUUGUGCUUGCCUCUCUUGAUAAAAUUAUUUUUAAGGUUUAAACUUAAAUUCUCCCAUAAAAUUGUAAUAUGUAUUACCACUAUAUCCAACACUUGAGAUAUUAAAUAUAAAUUAACUCAAAAAAACAAACAAAACUUUAUUUGGAUUGGAAUUUUGUUGCAUGCAUUGUAACUUUAUUUGGAUUGGAAUCAUGGUUAAAAGUAUUCCUACUUGUGUUAUGAAAUUAUUAAAGUAUCCUCUUAUAUAUAUAUAUAUAUGAAAUUUAAUUAUAAUUUUAUGAGGAUGCUUUGUCUCUUUCAUAUAAAAAGUAAAUCAUAAUGAGAUUUGGAGUUGAAACACGAUGCAUAAUAAAUAUAAUAAACAAUUAGGUUUAUGAUUGUAACCAAAAUUUCAAAUAAUUUUUAUGUGAAUUUCUAAUGGGAGACAUAAAUCAAAUGACAUUUUAUAUUUACGUCUUGCUUCUUUUAUCAAAACUCAGGACAUUCAAACUAUUUCAGCAAAUUAAUAGCAUAGCUGUUUUAUUUGCUAUGGUUUGAAAAUGGAAAAGAUUUACUUAAACGAAAGAACCGCAUUCAUACAUACUAUAGCAAGCGUUUUGGAGGGCUACCACAUUUGUUUGUAUUACAGAAUUAGCUCCAAUCCAAUAUAUAUAUAAAUCAAUUUGCUUUACUUGUUUCUUUGUUGACAAGUUAAAGCAAGAUCUUGCUAAUCGAAUUAUUGAAAAAAGGGAAAUUUUAUUGUAGGAACAUUAAUAUAAAGUUCCAAGUUGUGUAAACGACAUAUAUUUCUUUUAAUAUGGUAAUUAUCAUGUAAUGGUGUCUAUCUUCCAGUUUUUUGCAUUUACAUUUUAUUCUUAAAAUAAGACAUUUUUUAUUUACUCAACCUUCAUGUCAUCAUCUCCUUUCGUCAAGCCAUAGUUACAACCAUCUUUUUCUUUUCUUUCAUUUCACCAUGGAAACUUAUGCACACAAACUUUUGGCAAGAGAAGAAGACAAAAUAAUUUGGAUUAAAAAUUAUUUCAAAUGAAAAUUGAACACACGAAAGGCCAAUUGAAAACAAAUCUGGGAUUCUAUAACUAUCCUAGGAGAGAAGAUUGUUGGGUUAUGAUGUUCAUCCAUGGCAGCCAUCAUUGGAUGAUCAAAGCUUUACCAUAUUUUUUUUUACUCUUACGAACAAUACAUCAGAUUUUCAAUCUAUAAAAGAUCAUAUAUUUGUGCGCAAUCAAAUGACCGAAUCUGGAACUUCUAUAUCGGUAACUGCCAUGUUUUAGUGAGUUUGAGUGAAGAUUAGAUGAUACUUUUUAUGGUUUCAAUAUAUAUAUAUACACACACAAUUUUCAUUUCAAAUCCUUCUUUUAUUCUCUUGAUCGAAAUUAUUUUGCUUUUUUUAUUUUUUCAUGUUUGAUUUUGAUUAUUUUCUUCUCUUCCCAAUUUGAAGUCUCCAUGUAUAAUACUUUUUCCUGGAAAUGCUCAAAUGAAAUGAAAUUGUAAAAAGGGAAAUCAAUUGACUCUUUUAACCAUGGCUUAAGGAAAGAGAUAAUGUUUACAUGGAAUUUUUUUUCAAAAAUUGUUCACAUGGAAGUCUAUUAGAUCAAAAUGUCUUCUUUAAAGAAUAAAGUCUAAAAUGCAGGUAAUAUAGUUUUUUAAUUCCACAAAUAACUUUAAAAUAUUUAUAUAUAUAUAUAUAUAUAUAUAUAUUACUAUACCUUAUAAAAUACUUGUUAACCUUCUAACCUUGCUUGUAGACUUUAAAUAUUCCACUAAUAGUGUAUCAAAUACUCUAUCGGCAAUGUACAUUAAAAUGUGUUAUUGAGUUGAUGUAAUGAAUAAUAAAUAUUAUUAUGAACGCUAUAUAUAUAUAUAAAAUAUUUAUAUCUAAAAUGAAUUCAUGGAAUUUAAAUUAAGACAUCAAAAUCUAACAAAGACUUAGAUUUAUUGUUUCAACCAAAAUUUCUUUUGUUUUCUAUAUAAAUAUACUUUUACAUUAUUACUUUUUUCUACUUAUAUAUUUGGAUGUCUCAUAAUCAAAUACAUACAAUAUUUGGAGGAAUAUGGUCGGCAAGUAGAAUAUUUAUCGUAUAUUGAAUCACAUCAAAGGGAAUAAAGCUAAAGAUUGUCUGUCAAGUUUACCCACAAGAUGUGAAAGCAGAUAACUUCCAAGUUAUUUCAAUGCAUACAUAUAUAUCCACCUGGACCACCGCUGGAACAUGAGGCUAUUUUAUGUUUUUCUUUUAAUAAUUCAUUACUCCACAAGCAGUCGUGGCAAAAAGUAAACCAACCUUAAGUUUGAAGAUAAAAUGAAUGUGGACUUGGUUAGGUUUCAGUAGUUUCUGCAGUCGAGAGAAGCAUCCGGUUUCCAAUCAAUGUGUGAAAAAGAAGGGAAAAAAAUCACCUGGUAAUGACAAUUAAAUGUAUAUUAAUGUAAAUGGAAUGAUUUCUUUUUCAAAUGAGGGCACAGUUCCAAAUGGAUCUCUUGUGGAACCCAUGGUAGGUCUCUAGGUGCUUACCCGUGACACUUCAAUCCUGUUUUUCAAGCUUGAAAACUUCCAUUGACAAUGUGCCAAGAAUAGGAACAAAAUCGGUUUGUUAGCAGUAACUACGAGCAAUCUCAAUGGUAUUAUUAUAGAGGAAAAUUAAAGGAUUAAAUAAUGAAGACUCUGAACGUUUCUAGUUGCAUUAGCUCAUUGCAGUUAAGUUUUUUGACAGCAAGUUGUAUUGGGAUCUUGAAAUUGGAGUUCAAUGUGAAAGAUAUGGGUUUGGUUGGAUAACAUACAUGAUACAGUCAGAUUGGAAUAUAGCGAAAUCAAAACAAAACAAAAAUGAAACCCAAGAAUAAGAUGAAGGUCUGGCAAGCUAUACUUCAACAGCGAAGUAAUUAUGUUGUUCUGAAUCUGGAUCCAUUUUGUCUGCAGCAGUUAGCUUUUGUGAGUUGUAACUAUCCUAGUUCGGAACAGAGCCAGAGAAGAUAUUUUGUAAAAUAAAAAAAAAAAAGUAUUAGCUACCAUUGUUUAGAAGACUAUUAAAAUCUGUCCCAAUAUUAGAUUAAUAAUAAGGCUAUUAGGAUGAAUGAUAUAGAUAGAUUAAGUGAUUUGAGGGUCCCAGUUUCUUCCACCAUUAGAGGCUGGGACUUGCUAAUAUUUUGGUGUAAAUCUCCACCUCAAUCAAUUCAAAUUGCAAACAUUAAAUUGAUUUAUGGUAAAAGUUUAUUAACUAAGCUUACAUUAUAAUACAACCGAGUUGUGCUCUUAAAGCACUAUAAAACCCCCUUCCUUCACUCCAAAUUCUCCAUACUAUAACUUGUACAUUAGGCAAGAUGGCUUCAAAAAGAACAGCAUCGCUUGCCCUCUUCUUUGCCCUCAACGUUCUCUUCUUUUCUCUAGUCAGUGCUUGCGGUUCUUGCCCUUCCCCCAACCCAAAACCAAAGCCUACUCCUUCCCCAUCCCCCUCAGGCAAAUGCCCCCAAGAUACCCUUAAGUUAGGUGUCUGUGCUGAGGUGCUUGGUUUAGUCAAUGUAACUGUUGGUUCGCCCCCAGUGCAACCAUGCUGCUCCCUUCUCCAAGGCCUUGCUGAUCUUGAAGCUGUUGUUUGCCUUUGCACAGCACUCAAAGCUAACGUUUUGGGCAUCAACCUUAAUAUCCCAGUUUCCCUCAGCUUGCUUCUUAACGUCUGCUCAAAGAAAGUUCCAUCUGGCUUCCAAUGUCCCUAAUUAUUGUUUCCAAUUCUUUGUCUUCUUGGUGUUUUGUGUGGCUUUGAAGGUCUAAGUAAGUUAUUAUGGUGAUUGGUAAUUGCUUGUUUCUUAGUGGAUUGAGAUUGAAUAAGUGUACUACUUUCAUUUAUUAAAGUUUGUUCAUCUAAUUUAAAGGAAAAGUAUUCAGUUUGUUUAUUUGAAUAAACCAUCCAUUGUUGACUUGAAGUGAUGCUUGUAUUUGGUCUUAUUAUAUAGUCAUAAACAAUUUUUGUUAAUUUAUUACAUAAAAUUGUUAAAUUAUUUUAUUUCUUUUAAAUGUACAAAUCCAAG
rnacentral:lncRNA from 1 species